rnacentral:lncRNA from 7 species
AGGAGGGGGGAGAGGGGGAGAGAAGUGAGGGGGUGAGUAAGUGGGGGCGUGGGUGGAUGGGGGGGAGAGGAGAGAGGGUAGGAAGGAAAAAAUUGGAGGUAGGGUGAGGGAAGGGGGAGGGUUGAAGGGAAAAUAAUGAAACAGAGGAAAAAAGAGAAUAACAAGUAAAAAGCAAUGCAUGUAAAUACAGAGCAAGCAAGUAGGAAAGCUAGGCAUAGCACAGCAAAAGAGAGCAAAGCAAAAGAAGGCAAAGAAUGACAAAAAGCAACCUUGCAGGAAUGGAGGAAUCUGGCCAGAGCUGUGCCCCUGCUUGCCACAGGAGCUGCGCGGGAGGAGAAGAAUGUGGGCCAAAAGGAAUGGAGGAAUCUGGCCAGAGCUGUGCCCCUGCUUGCCACAGGAGCUGCGCGGGAGGAGAAGAAUGUGGGCCAAAAGGUAAGAGGAGCUCCUUUGGGUUCUGGGCUUGAAGCAAAGCUGAGAAGCCAUGCCCGGGAGGAGGUGUGGGUAGCUACAGGCCACCUUGCUAUCUCCCCAAGAGAUGAGGUGUGUGGGCUAGGCACCGGGCAGGAGUGCUGGCCAGAAGCAAGCAUCUCUGUGGAGGAAGGCAAAGGGCGGAGGAGGUUCAAGGGUAGCUACCGGGCAUGGCCUUGCUCAGCAAGGGAGGAAAAGCCUGAAGGGCACGAGAAGGGGAUAGAGAAGGGCAGGCAGUAGGCGUGAAGCUGUGAGCAGAGUAGAGAGCAACUUGGCAGAGCAGCAAGCAGAGUAGGCAAGUGUGAGGUUUGGCGUGAGUAGCAGCAAAAGCCCAGAGCAUCAAGAAGCAGGAAGUGAGGAGAAGGUAAGUGAAGGGCAGGCAAGGUAAUGGGAGGCAAAGGCAAGGGGAAAGGGGGGGUAAGGGAGAAAGAGGGAUGGGGAGGGAG